rnacentral:rRNA from 1 species
AUGUCGGCGGCGAGCAGGGGCGUGCGCGCGCUGGCCAUGCUGGGGCGGUGCGUGCGGGCGCCGUUCCGCGCGCUGGUCCGCGCGCGCGACCUCUACGUGAGCCGGAUGGCGGCCUGCGCGGCGGGACGCGGGCCGGUGGGCAUAGCGGCCGUGUCCCGGAGCCGGAGCCACGGGUUCCACUUCCACCACUCGGCGGGCGGCGACGGCGCCGAGGCCGACGUGCGUGAGCUCAUAAGGGCCGCCUCGCACGCCGGGCCGCCCAGCCCCGCCGGCGUCGGGCCGCGGAGCCAGAGCGUGGCCAUCGGGAGGAUCGACGAGGACCGCCCCUGCGAGUUCGGGCUCGACGACGGUGCCGCGGCGCAUGCGCUGGGCCCAAGGAGCAGGAGCUGCGCCGUCGGGUCCACGGCCAAGAUGCCGCGCAGGCUCGGCGCUGUCGCGACCGCUUAA